rnacentral:rRNA from 1 species
UACGGGGGGGGCAAGCGUUGUUCGGAAUUACUGGGCGUAAAGGGCUCGUAGGCGGCCAACUAAGUCAGACGUGAAAUCCCUCGGCUUAACCGGGGAACUGCAUCUGAUACUGGAUGGCUUGAGUUCGGGAGAGGGAUGCGGAAUUCCAGGUGUAGCGGUGAAAUGCGUAGAUAUCAGGAGGAACACCGGUGGCGAAGGCGGGUCUCUGGGCCGUAACUGACGCUGAGGAGCGAAAGCGUGGGGAGCGAACAGG